AAACUCUGACUGUCCAGGGAGGAGAGGAUGCCUCGUUUUUCUUAUAAACAGACAUUGGCACCAAGAUCAAAAAGCCAGAAAUUUUUUCAGUUCAGGUAAAAAUGAGGGUGUAAAUUCCCAGGCCCCUGGAAUGAUGAGGACGUUGCUUCAUCGUGUUGGAGUUGGGUAGAAGAAAAUGAAGAACUCGUCAAAAAAUGCUUCCAGACGACCUUGAACAUCAGCUGCUCUCUUUCUACUCAAAGUAUAAUUCCUUGAACAUGGCAGCUGCUACUUUUGUUUUGAUUUGUUUUUCAUUCAUAAACAAUCUCUCUAAACUUAUAGAAUAUUGAAUAUUGUGUAUAAUGUGAAAUAGGAAGUUCUCUUAUUUAGAGUCAGUUCAAUACCAGGUGCUUUUGAGUAUCAGAAAACUGUGUCACAUGUUGAGGGGACCGAAGACAAGUUAACAACAAGAAAAGGUCCAUGUUGCGGAGUGGGUCAGAGUCCAGGGGAGGGACUCACAUACAAGUCUGACUGGGGAACUGGCAAUAGGUAAGAGGUCAGGGAGGUGCCCCAAAGCGGGAGAAUUUUCAACUGCUGGGGAGGAAUGAGUAGGGCUUUGCUACAUGGAAAAUGUGAGAAGAGCACUCAGAGUGGAAAUACUGGCCUGAGCCUAGAGCAAGAGGCUCAAGCAGGCCUGGUGAGUUUGGGGGCUGCAUCUUGCCUGAUGUAGCUGAAGCACAGUGGAGUGACAGGAAGAUGUCUGCAAAGGGAGGUUGGGGCAAGUCUGGGGAGAACCUGGAAUGUCGUCAUUCACAGCCUUGACCUGAAUCUCUAGGCAAAGGAAAACCAUUAGAGGUUUUGGAGUAGGGGUGCUGGGUGACAUGCUCUUUGGAAAAAUUGAAAGCUGGAGGCAAUUUAGAGAAUGGCUUGAAGCAAGUUGUUCUCUGCCAUUCAACUUAUUUUUCUAUUUGCCAGUCUGCAGAGGAAGUGGCCCAUAUGCAAAUGAAAUGAUUUGGACCUCACCAGGAAUGAAAUAUUCACCAUCUUCUCUUUCAUAAUUGACGAUGAUGCUUCUGAUGGUGAUUUCUAUUUACAUACACAGGAUGGCUGAAUCUUCUCAUAGAAAGUCUACUCUUUGAAUGCUUCUAUAAUUGGACUGUCUAAGAACCUAAUUCAUCCUUCCCUGUGGGGGCCCCAAAAGUUUUUACCUCUAACCCCUUGACCCAAUUUGCCAAAAGGUAAGACUCAAAUUUAUGAAGGAAAUCCCUCUUCUCCACCUCUAGGAAGAAACACUUGAAGAUGUCUAAGCCUGCCCACUAUACAAUCACAUUCAUUCAGCAUCCACUAUAUGCACAACCUUUUGCUGAAUCUUCUUUUAAAAAAUGAACCCAAAUAGAGAUAUUGAGAAAACAAGGAUGAAUAAUACAUGACAUUAUACAUUUUAAAACAUUACCUAAAAUCAAAUGAAAGAGUAACAAUUGCUAUCUGUUAACCGGUUGGAUGGUGAGCUGGUUUUUAGCACGACAUCCCUGGUGCAAUAAAGCUAAGUUUUGUAAAUUAAAAAUCCUUUAAAAUUAGAUUCUGUUUUUACAGGGCUGGAGAGACCAACUUACAGAACUUUAACCAUGAAGUUUCAUGGCUCUUGUCUUACUUUUCUAGUUCUAUCCAGUAGAAAAUAACAGUAUGAAAAAUGGGACACCAUGCUGCAUUUCAAAUAGCCUUCUGCUAAUUAGAAAAUUACCCUGUAUCUUCAUAAGGGCUGCCAGCAUUGUUUUAAUAUGGCUCUGCUAAUAUACCGAAGGCCCUAAUUUAAAAAUCUUGUAUCUUGGCUGCUAAAAUCACUGCAGGCUGAAUCUUGUCAUACAGGAGGAGAUUUUGUUUCUCAGUCCAGGGCAUGGAGCAUGAUUGGUGUCAGUUUUACACGCCUGGAAUGUGUGUGUGUUUAGAGGGGUGGGAGGGUGGAGAGACAAAACAAUUGUCUUUAAAUGCCUUCUUCUUAGCACACCUUAGCUGUGAUCCCAGAUCGGAACCCAGUUCUCUUGAGAAUGAAGGCUGCUUUGACAUGUUAGUAAGGAAAAAAUCAAGUAACUCAAAAAUUUCUCUUACAGGAUUUAGUUAAAAUAUAUAUUUAUGUGAGAUUUAAACAAAGUAAUUUCUGCUGUAUGUUUACAAUUGAUAUGUUUGUCUGUUAAAAUUUUUUUUGCUGUUUAAAUAAAAUCUCUUAAUAAGAAUGAGCAAA
rnacentral:lncRNA from 1 species